AUUGAACGCUGGCGGCAGGCCUAACACAUGCAAGUCGAACGAGUGGCGGACGGGUGUGUAAUGUCUGGGAAACUGCCUGAUGGAGGGGGAUAACUACUGGAAACGGUAGCUAAUACCGCAUACCAUCGGAGGUGCCCAGAUGGGAUUAGCUAGUAGGAGGGGUAAAGGCUAACCUAGGCGACGAUCCCUAGCUGGUCUGAGAGGAUGACCGGCCACACUGGAACGAAACAACGGUCCAGACUCCUACGGGAGGCAGCAGUGGGGAAUAUUGCACAAUGGGCGCAAGCCUGAUGCAGCCAUGCCGCUUGUAUGAAGAGGGCCUUCGGUUUGUAAAGUACUUUCAGCGGGGAGGCGUUACCCGCAGAAGAAGCACUGGCUAACUCCGUGCCAGCAGCCGCGGUAAUAC
rnacentral:rRNA from 1 species